rnacentral:rRNA from 1 species
GAUGAACGCUGGCGGCGUGCCUAAUACAUGCAAGUCGAGCGAACGGACGAGAAGCUUGCUUCUCUGAUGUUAGCGGCGGACGGGUGAGUAACACGUGGAUAACCUACCUAUAAGACUGGGAUAACUUCGGGAAACCGGAGCUAAUACCGGAUGAUAUUUUGAACAGCAUGGUUAAAAAGUGAAUGACGGUCUUGCUGUCACUUAUAGAUGGAUCCGCGCUGCAUUAGCUAGUUUGUAAGGUAACGGCUUACCAAGGCAACGAUGCAUAGCCGACCUGAGAGUGUGAUCCUCCACACUGGAGCUGUGACACCGUCCAGACUCCUCCGGGAGGUAGCUGUUGGUAAUCUUCCACAAUCGGCGAAAGCCUUGCCGAGCAACGCCGCCUGGUUAAUGACGGUCUUCGGAUCGUAUCACUCUGUUAUUAGGGAAGAACAUAUGUGUCAGUGACUGUGCACUUCUUGACUGUACCUAAUCAGAAAUCCACGGCUAACUACGUG